rnacentral:rRNA from 1 species
UAGAGUUUGAUCCUGGCUCAGGACGAACGCUGGCGGCGUGCCUAAUACAUGCAAGUCGAGCGAAUCUGAGGGAGCUUGCUCCCAAAGAUUAGCGGCGGACGGGUGAGUAACACGUGGGCAACCUGCCUGUAAGACUGGGAUAACUUCGGGAAACCGGAGCUAAUACCGGAUAAUCCCUUUCCUCACAUGAGGAAAGGCUGAAAGACGGUUUCGGCUGUCACUUACAGAUGGGCCCGCGGCGCAUUAGCUAGUUGGUGAGGUAACGGCUCACCAAGGCCACGAUGCGUAGCCGACCUGAGAGGGUGAUCGGCCACACUGGGACUGAGACACGGCCCAGACUCCUACGGGAGGCAGCAGUAGGGAAUCUUCCGCAAUGGACGAAAGUCUGACGGAGCAACGCCGCGUGAGUGAUGAAGGUUUUCGGAUCGUAAAACUCUGUUGUUAGGGAAGAACAAGUAUCGGAGUAACUGCCGGUACCUUGACGGUACCUAACCAGAAAGCCACGGCUAACUACGUGCCAGCAGCCGCGGUAAUACGUAGGUGGCAAGCGUUGUCCGGAAUUAUUGGGCGUAAAGCGCGCGCAGGUGGUUCCUUAAGUCUGAUGUGAAAGCCCACGGCUCAACCGUGGAGGGUCAUUGGAAACUGGGGAACUUGAGUGCAGAAGAGGAAAGUGGAAUUCCAAGUGUAGCGGUGAAAUGCGUAGAGAUUUGGAGGAACACCAGUGGCGAAGGCGACUUUCUGGUCUGUAACUGACACUGAGGCGCGAAAGCGUGGGGAGCGAACAGGAUUAGAUACCCUGGUAGUCCACGCCGUAAACGAUGAGUGCUAAGUGUUAGAGGGUUUCCGCCCUUUAGUGCUGCAGCAAACGCAUUAAGCACUCCGCCUGGGGAGUACGACCGCAAGGUUGAAACUCAAAGGAAUUGACGGGGGCCCGCACAAGCGGUGGAGCAUGUGGUUUAAUUCGAAGCAACGCGAAGAACCUUACCAGGUCUUGACAUCCUCUGACAAUCCUAGAGAUAGGACGUUCCCCUUCGGGGGACAGAGUGACAGGUGGUGCAUGGUUGUCGUCAGCUCGUGUCGUGAGAUGUUGGGUUAAGUCCCGCAACGAGCGCAACCCUUGAUCUUAGUUGCCAGCAUUCAGUUGGGCACUCUAAGGUGACUGCCGGUGACAAACCGGAGGAAGGUGGGGAUGACGUCAAAUCAUCAUGCCCCUUAUGACCUGGGCUACACACGUGCUACAAUGGAUGGUACAAAGGGCUGCAAGACCGCGAGGUUUAGCCAAUCCCAUAAAACCAUUCUCAGUUCGGAUUGCAGGCUGCAACUCGCCUGCAUGAAGCCGGAAUCGCUAGUAAUCGCGGAUCAGCAUGCCGCGGUGAAUACGUUCCCGGGCCUUGUACACACCGCCCGUCACACCACGAGAGUUUGUAACACCCGAAGUCGGUGGGGUAACCUUUUGGAGCCAGCCGCCUAAGGUGGGACAGAUGAUUGGGGUGAAGUCGUAACAAGGUAACC